GGGGAUGUUGCUCAGUGGUACAGCACUUAUCUAGAGUGUGGGAAGCCUGGGUUCAGUCCCCAGUAUCACUA
rnacentral:tRNA from 1 species